rnacentral:tRNA from 1 species
AGCUUUUUAGUUUAUAAUAAAAUACUCGUUUGUGAUGUGAGUGAAGUAGGAGGCUU